rnacentral:rRNA from 1 species
GGACUACGCGGGUAUCUAAUCCGGUUUGCUCCCCUAGCUCUCGUCCCUCAUCGUCGAGCCCGUUCUAGUUAGGUGCCUUCGCUAUCGGUGGUCCUUCCAGGAUUAUAGCAUUUCGCCGCUACCCCAGAAAUACCCCUAACCUCUCCCGGCUCCAAGACCGCCAGUAUCCUCUGCAAGCCCUACGGUUAAGCCGCAGGAUUUCACAGAAGACUUAACGGCCUGACUACGGACGCUUUAAGCCAAAUAAAAACGACUACCACUCGGGUUGCUAGUGUUACCGCGGAGGCUGGCACUAGUCUUGCCCACCCCUUAUUCGCAGUACUUUUUACAUACUACAAAAGUACUUGUUUUACAAGCACACUUGGAUUCCCCCUGUCACGCUUUCGCGCAUUGCAGAGUUUUCGCGCCUGCUGCCCCCCAUAGG